UUAUAAGUGAAGAAGAAGGGGAACAGAAAAAAAAGCUCAUGUAGAGCCGCCUUCGAUUAAACUCGAAUUAGCUUCAACUGUUCAUUCCAACUGACUGUAGUUCAAUGAAAAGUUUGCUAACCACUGAGGCAACUUAGUUCAAGUAGCGACGUCUGCGCGCCCUGCUGCGGCUUAUAUUUAAAGCUUACUGCCCACCAGCGAAAAAUAUUUAAUAAAGCACCCAUACACAUAAAACCCCUCUGUGUCUGUGUGUGUGUGUGUGUGGGUGUGGGUGUGUUACGUAUUUGUG